rnacentral:lncRNA from 1 species
AGGAAUAAAAACUUAAUAACUUAAUCCUUUUUGUUUCAGAGAAAAUCUUGGUGGUUUUACAUGUGUUUCAAGCUUUUAUAGAAACAUUUAUAAAGACGGCAAUAAAUACAGUUAACUGGUGUGACUUGCUGUGGUAUCUAAAAUUUGCUUGUUGUUUUCAUACUGUUCAAGAAUGACAGAAACAGAUCAAACAGUCAAGGAAGCCCAGCUGUAUCUUGCUUGAGGCUCUUACCUAAUUUGCACCUGCUCACUGAUGGGCUUAAAAGUAUUUAUUUUGUCUUGCUUCCAGCCCAAAUACUGAGUUUUGAACGGAGAAAUCCUAUGCCUCACUGGUGACUUUUUUGUCUCAAUGGGAAUAGAAUGCCCACUCAAUUUGGUGUACACAAUCCAAACACACAAGACCAGGCAGCCUGGCUCGCUCGGGGCACAUUCCUGCAGCUGUGGUGCCAGAGCUGGAGACAGCAAGGCACUAGGUACAAGUCUCACAGCCCUCCACCAGCCUCACCCCCUAUAUCACUCAUUUUUUUCAAGAAGAAGCCAAGUGCCUUUCAACCACCCCUUGAGCAGGCCAGUUCCAAAAUUCAGGACUCAGGGUCCCACACAGAAGAACAGAAUACUCCAUAGGCACUCCCAUUAUGACAGCCUGCAGGAAAAGCCACUCGUCCAAUGGAAAGCUCCAAAUCCACAAGGCAAAUGCACAGUUUCAAACUAGACUGUUAGACCUCACCCAUUCUAUGCAGUUUUGUGUCCAGAGUGCAGAAAAAGAGAAGUUUUAAAUCACCUCUGGCAUUGCAAUGGCAGACCCCUCAAGUUUCUGGAGACAAGUAAAUCUUGUGCUAACACCCAGUAUGUUAUCUAAAGGCAUAAUAAGAAGCUAACAGUGGCUAGGAAUCACUAACUGAAGAACUUAAAAAACUGUUAAUUUAUGUCCUAUACCCAAAGGUAGACCUGAAAGUACACUUUUCUCUCAUUAAAGAAAAAAAAUUAUCACAGAAUUUAACAGAUAACAAAAUAUGUGCUUGUAUCAACCCCAGUUGAACUGUCUUCCCAAUCCGGUCAUGUCAAAAGCAAAAUUCCAUGAAAACAAUGAUCAUCUAAAAUAAAGUAAAAAAUUUUUUUACA